rnacentral:rRNA from 1 species
UCGAACGGUAACGUGGGGAGAUCCACCCUGACGACGAGUGGCGAACGGGUGAGUAAUACAUCGGAACGUGUCCGCUCGUGGGGGACAACCAGCCGAAAGGUUGGCUAAUACCGCAUGAGUUCUACGGAAGAAAGAGGGGGACCCGCAGCCUCUCGCGAGCGGAGCGGCCGAUGACUGAUUAGCCGGUUGGUGAGGUAACGGCUCACCAAAGCAACGAUCAGUAGCUGGUCUGAGAGGACGACCAGCCACACUGGGACUGAGACACGGCCCAGACUCCUACGGGAGGCAGCAGUGGGGAAUUUUGGACAAUGGGCGCAAGCCUGAUCCAGCUAUUCCGCGUGUGGGAUGAAGGCCCUCGGGUUGUAAACCACUUUUGUAGAGAACGAAAAGACACCAUCGAAUAAAUGGUGUUGCUGACGGUACUCUAAGAAUAAGCACCGGCUAAC